rnacentral:rRNA from 1 species
AUUGAACGCUGGCGGCAUGCUUUACACAUGCAAGUCGAACGGCAGCGCGGGGCAACCUGGCGGCGAGUGGCGAACGGGUGAGUAAUACAUCGGAACGUACCCAGAAGUGGGGGAUAACGUAGCGAAAGUUACGCUAAUACCGCAUACGUUCUACGGAAGAAAGUGGGGGACCUUCGGGCCUCAUGCUUUUGGAGCGGCCGAUGUCUGAUUACCUAGUUGGUGAGGUAAAGGCUCACCAAGGCGACGAUCAGUAGCUGGUCUGAGAGGACGACCAGCCACACUGGGACUGAGACACGGCCCAGACUCCUACGGGAGGCAGCAGUGGGGAAUUUUGGACAAUGGGCGCAAGCCUGAUCCAGCAAUGCCGCGUGAGUGAAGAAGGCCUUCGGGUUGUAAAGCUCUUUUGUCAGGGAAGAAACGGCUGAGGAUAAUACCUUCGGCUAAUGACGGUACCUGAAGAAUAAGCACCGGCUAACUACGUG